AAUCAUGAGCUCCGGUGCGAAGCCCUGGCUGGCCGGACGGCAACCCUCGACGCUGUAGCGGGGUGCCCCAGGUGAGGAUUCGGCCCGUGUCACCACCGCGCGGGUAAGUACGGCGU
rnacentral:ncRNA from 1 species